GACAAACACCAGACACCGCUUCAACUCACUCACCGCUUCGUUUACUGGAGCGCUGGUCGUGGAGCACUUGCUGAUCUAACCUCUGGGAUGGGGCGGAAACGCAUGAAUGGGCCGAGACGGGCAGUGAACAGAUAAACAAGGGGGAAGAAAACAAGGCGGGUGUAAGGUCACGUAAGUGGGCCUUGGGCCAAUCUGACUGGUGUCCUUAUAAGAAGAGGAGACAUGAACCCACAGAGAGAUACCAGGAUGCGCCCGCUAGAGGGAGGACCAUGAGGAUGUAGGGGAAGACGGCCAUCUGCAGGCCUCAGCCAGAGCCCCCAGGAGAAACCAGCCCUGCCCGCACCUGGAUCUUGGACUUCCAGCCUCCAGAACUGUGAGAAAAUAAACUUCCGCUGUUUAAGCCA